AGUGAACGCUGGCGGUAGGCCUAACACAUGCAAGUCGAACGGCAGCACAGUAAGAGCUUGCUCUUACGGGUGGCGAGUGGCGGACGGGUGAGGAAUACAUCGGAAUCUACUUUUUCGUGGGGGAUAACGUAGGGAAACUUACGCUAAUACCGCAUACGACCUACCGGUGAAAGCAGGGGAUCUUCGGACCUUGCGCGAUUGAAUGAGCCGAUGUCGGAUUAGCUAGUUGGCGGGGUAAAUGCCCACCAAGGCGACGAUCCGUAGCUGGUCUGAGAGGAUGAUCAGCCACACUGGAACUGGAACACGGUCCAGACUCCUACGGGAGGCAGCAGUGGGGAAUAUUGGACAAUGGGCGCAAGCCUGAUCCAGCCAUACCGCGUGGGUGAAGAAGGCCUUCGGGUUGUAAAGCCCUUUUGUUGGGAAAGAAAAGCAGCAGGUUAAUACCCCGCUGUUCUGACGGUACCCAAAGAAUAAGCACCGGCUAACUUCGUG
rnacentral:rRNA from 1 species